rnacentral:rRNA from 1 species
CUAUACAUGCAGUCGUACGCUUCUUUUUCCACCGGAGCUUGCUCCACCGGAAAAAGAGGAGUGGCGAACGGGUGAGUAACACGUGGGUAACCUGCCCAUCAGAAGGGGAUAACACUUGGAAACAGGUGCUAAUACCGUAUAACAAUCGAAACCGCAUGGUUUUGAUUUGAAAGGCGCUUUCGGGUGUCGCUGAUGGAUGGACCCGCGGUGCAUUAGCUAGUUGGUGAGGUAACGGCUCACCAAGGCCACGAUGCAUAGCCGACCUGAGAGGGUGAUCGGCCACAUUGGGACUGAGACACGGCCCAAACUCCUACGGGAGGCAGCAGUAGGGAAUCUUCGGCAAUGGACGAAAGUCUGACCGAGCAACGCCGCGUGAGUGAAGAAGGUUUUCGGAUCGUAAAACUCUGUUGUUAGAGAAGAACAAGGAUGAGAGUAACUGUUCAUCCCUUGACGGUAUCUAACCAGAAAGCCACGGCUAACUACGUGCCAGCAGCCGCGGUAAUACGUAGGUGGCAAGCGUUGUCCGGAUUUAUUGGGCGUAAAGCGAGCGCAGGCGGUUUCUUAAGUCUGAUGUGAAAGCCCCCGGCUCAACCGGGGAGGGUCAUUGGAAACUGGGAGACUUGAGUGCAGAAGAGGAGAGUGGAAUUCCAUGUGUAGCGGUGAAAUGCGUAGAUAUAUGGAGGAACACCAGUGGCGAAGGCGGCUCUCUGGUCUGUAACUGACGCUGAGGCUCGAAAGCGUGGGGAGCAAACAGGAUUAGAUACCCUGGUAGUCCACGCCGUACACGAUGAGUGCUAAGUGUUGGAGGGUUUCCGCCCUUCAGUGCUGCAGCUAACGCAUUAAGCACUCCGCCUGGGGAGUACGACCGCAAGGUUGAAACUCAAAGGAAUUGACGGGGGCCCGCACAAGCGGUGGAGCAUGUGGUUUAAUUCGAAGCAACGCGAAGAACCUUACCAGGUCUUGACAUCCUUUGACCACUCUAGAGAUAGAGCUUCCCCUUCGGGGGCAAAGUGACAGGUGGUGCAUGGUUGUCGUCAGCUCGUGUCGUGAGAUGUUGGGUUAGUCCCGCAACGAGCGCAACCUUAUUGUUAGUUGCCAUCAUUCAGUUGGGCACUCUAGCAGGACUGCCGGUGACAACCGGAGGAAGGUGGGGAUGACGUCAAUCAUCAUGCCCCUUAUGA